rnacentral:rRNA from 1 species
AUUGAACGCUGGCGGCAGGCCUAACACAUGCAAGUCGAGCGAGCGGCGGACGGGUGAGUAAUGUAUGGGGACUGCACGAUUGAGGGGGAUAACUACUGGAAAAGGUAGCUAAUACCGCAUACUAUCGGAUAACCCAGAUGGGAUUAGCUAGUAGGUGAGGUAAUGGCUCACCUCGGCAACGAUCCCUCGCUGGUCUGAGAGGAUGAUCAGCCACACUGGGACGUAGAAACGGCCCAGACUCCUACGGAGGCAGCAGUGGGGAAUAUUGCACAAGGGGCGCAAGCCUGAUGCAGCCAUGCCGCGUGUAUGAAGAAGGCCCUAGGGUUGUAAAGUACUUUCAGUCGGGAGGCGUUACCGACAGAAGAAGCACCGGCUAACUCCGUGUCAGCAGCCGCGGUAAUAC